rnacentral:rRNA from 1 species
AUUGAACGCUGGCGGCAGGCCUAACACAUGCAAGUCGAACGAGUGGCGGACGGGUGAGUAAUGUCUGGGAAACUGCCCGAUGGAGGGGGAUAACUACUGGAAACGGUAGCUAAUACCGCAUCCUAUCGGAUGUGCCCAGAUGGGAUUAGCUAGUAGGUGGGGUAAAGGCUCACCUAGGCGACGAUCCCUAGCUGGUCUGAGAGGAUGACCAGCCACACUGGGACUGAGACACGGUCCAGACUCCUACGGGAGGCAGCAGUGGGGAAUAUUGCACAAUGGGCGCAAGCCUUAUGCAGCCAUGCCGCGUGUAUGAAGAAGGCCUUCGGGUUGUAAAGUACUUUCAGCGGGGAGGCGUUACCCGCAGAAGAAGCACCGGCUAACUCCGUGCCAGCAGCCGCGGUAAUAC